rnacentral:rRNA from 1 species
AUUGAACGCUGGCGGCAGGCCUAACACAUGCAAGUCGAACGGUAACAGGAAGCAGCUUGCUGCUUUGCUGACGAGUGGCGGACGGGUGAGUAAUGUCUGGGAAACUGCCUGAUGGAGGGGGAUAACUACUGGAAACGGUAGCUAAUACCGCAUAACGUCGCAAGACCAAAGAGGGGGACCUUCGGGCCUCUUGCCAUCGGAUGUGCCCAGAUGGGAUUAGCUAGUAGGUGGGGUAACGGCUCACCUAGGCGACGAUCCCUAGCUGGUCUGAGAGGAUGACCAGCCACACUGGAACUGAGACACGGUCCAGACUCCUACGGGAGGCAGCAGUGGGGAAUAUUGCACAAUGGGCGCAAGCCUGAUGCAGCCAUGCCGCGUGUAUGAAGAAGGCCUUCGGGUUGUAAAGUACUUUCAGCGGGGAGGAAGGGAGUAAAGUUAAUACCUUUGCUCAUUGACGUUACCCGCGGAAGAAGCACCGGCUAACUCCGUG